rnacentral:rRNA from 1 species
AGUGAACGCUGGCGGUAGGCCUAACACAUGCAAGUCGAACGGCAGCACAGUAAGAGCUUGCUCUUACGGGUGGCGAGUGGCGGACGGGUGAGGAAUACAUCGGAAUCUACUUUUUCGUGGGGGAUAACGUAGGGAAACUUACGCUAAUACCGCAUACGACCUACGGGUGAAAGCAGGGGAUCUUCGGCCCUUGCGCGAUUCUAUGAGCCUAUGUCGGAUUAGCUAGUUGGCGGGGUAAAGGCCCACCAAGGCGACGAUCCGUAGCUGGUCUGAGAGGAUGAUCAGCCACACUGGAACUGAGACACGGUCCAGACUCCUACGGGAGGCAGCAGUGGGGAAUAUUGGACAAUGGGCGCAAGCCUGAUCCAGCCAUGCCGCGUGGGUGAAGAAGGCCUUCGGGUUGUAAAGCCCUUUUGUUGGGAAAGAAAAGCAGCAGGUUAAUACCCCGCUGUUCUGACGGUACCCAAAGAAUAAGCACCGGCUAACUUCGUG